ensembl:lncRNA
CCUAAUGCCAGCCAGUUCAAGUACAUCUUUAGGAUGUAAAGCUGAUGGCCCAGUGUGGGGUUGUUAAACCAUGCAGAAAGCAAUGUGACGGCACAGGAUGACACAGAGUCCCUACCAGCUGUCAUCGACACCUCUACAAGCCUGUCAGCUGUAGAUGUGUCCUCUGCAGCAGGAGGAGAAGAUCUUCCAUCCCCGUUUGCUGACAUUCCUGCCCUAGUACAUGAUCACAGCUACCUUCCCGUCCACUUCGAUGGUCUUGUGGACAACGCUCUCAUGUACAUUUCAGGCUCUGAAGAAGCUGUCGUGUGAUGUCUGCCGUGCCAGCCUGGUGACAUGCUGCAUCUGCCAUCAAGGACCAGAGCUACCACAUGCUGAAUUAAUAAAACAAUGGAGGUCUGGUGAUUCCAUCAGAGGGAACCAUGGGUCAUUCGGCAGUCAUCAGGCAGUACCAGACAAUCACAGCCCAUCAAACUGCUUGAGGUUGUUUACAUUGUCUGAAAAAGGAUCGGUUCAGAGGAUGUUUGUGUUGGGAUGGACAGUAUGGGAUAGACAUCCACCACCAUAGGCUGUUAAAAAUAAUUCUGUCCCUGUUUUUUAAGUUAAGGCUGCACAUCGCCAGAAUUACAAUCCUCAGCUUACAGAGCAACAACAUGCGACAAACUUAAUAAAACUGUCCUUUUCAAAGGGCAUUAGCCCAAGGUAUGUGUUUUCAAGGUACUGUCCUCUUUUACUUCAACAGUAGUGUAGUGCUCUCUACAGCAUUUAUUUAUUUAUGUAUAUAUAAA